CCGAGUUUACAACUCCCAAACCCCUGUGAACAUACCUUUAUGUUGCCUCGGCGGAUCAGCCCGCGCCCCGUAAAACGGGACGGCCCGCCGCAGGAAACCCUAAACUCUGUUUUUAGUGGAAACUUCUGAGUAUAAAAACAAAUAAAUCA
rnacentral:misc_RNA from 1 species